rnacentral:rRNA from 1 species
GACGAACGCUGGCGGCGUGCUUAACACAUGCAAGUCGAACGGAAAGGCCCUGCUUUUGUGGGGUGCUCGAGUGGCGAACGGGUGAGUAACACGUGAGUAACCUGCCCUUGACUUUGGGAUAACUUCAGGAAACUGGGGCUAAUACCGGAUAGGAGCUCCUGCUGCAUGGUGGGGGUUGGAAAGUUUCGGCGGUUGGGGAUGGACUCUCGGCUUAUCAGCUUGUUGGUGGGGUAGUGGCUUACCAAGGCUUUGACGGGUAGCCGGCCUGAGAGGGUGACCGGCCACAUUGGGACUGAGAUACGGCCCAGACUCCUACGGGAGGCAGCAGUGGGGAAUAUUGCACAAUGGGCGGAAGCCUGAUGCAGCAACGCCGCGUGCGGGAUGACGGCCUUCGGGUUGUAAACCGCUUUCGCCUGUGACGAAGCGUGAGUGACGGUAAUGGGUAAAGAAGCACCGGCUACCUACGUG